rnacentral:rRNA from 1 species
CGCACGGGUGCGUAACGCGUGGGAAUCUGCCCUUGGGUCUGGAAUAACAGUUAGAAAUGACUGCUAAUACCGGAUGAUGACUUCGGUCCAAAGAUUUAUCGCCCAGGGAUGAGCCCGCGUCGGAUUAGCUAGUUGGUGAGGUAAAAGCUCACCAAGGCGACGAUCCGUAGCUGGUCUGAGAGGAUGAUCAGCCACACUGGGACUGAGACACGGCCCAG